CCCUGCCAAAUCCAAUCUCUGGUAUACUGCAAAUGGGAACUUUUUGGGUUAGGAACUCCUCCAUCUUAGCUAAGUUGCCAGAGUUGCCCUUGAUAUGAAUUUUGUUAUUUCCUGGCCACAAUGAUGCUGCCUCUUUAUUAAGUAUUGCUAUUCUACAGUUAAAUUGUUAACAAAAUCAGCAUAUAUAAUUAAAUAAUAAUAAUUCACGAGGAAAAUACAAAAGAAAUGAAUGUUUAAUCAAUGUUUGUAAAUCAGAUAAAGAUUUGUCCUGAUUUACAUAAAAUGCAGUUUUGAUUUUCUCUGCAUAGAUGUUUAUUUUUAAAAUUACUUCAAUCACCAAUGAACUCAGAAGAUGUCAUUUUUCUUGCCUUCGGCUCGAGUUUGUAUAUCAGAUACAGAUCGGCUACUCAUGUUUUAUCUAGUACUUAUAACUAAUAUAAAUAUUGUAGGAAUAAAAACUGAAAUAUUUGCACUGUUAUAGACCAAUUGUUACCGGGUAACAUUUGGGGUUUUUUCUUUCCUCAAUGAACUGUACAUUCAGUUCGUUGUAAAUGUGACGAAGGAUCAUAUAU
rnacentral:lncRNA from 1 species